AGAUCCACCAUAACAGUACGCCUGCGCACUGAGGAGAAACAGAAAGGAGGGCAAAGAAUCCGUGGAAGCAAGCAGAGGACGGCACAGCAGACGACUGAAUAGCUUCUUUUCGUGGGGCAAAUGGC